AAGUCGUAACAAGGUAACCGUAGGUGAACCUGCGGUUGGAUCAUUAAAAAGAUCUAGCCUGAAUUUGAUGCUUGCACUUAUUCAGGUUACUCACCGACGUGAGUAAAACAUCAUGUGAACUGUUUUGUCUCUGGCGGUGGGAUGGCUCAAAACCAUCUGUCAGCAUCCGAGGUAACCUCGGUGUGCCGUGGACAAGCCGCCAACGGUGUAUGUUUCAUACAAACUUUUUGUUUCAUUAAAACUGUCUGACCUACCUUUGUAUGUAAAUAAUACAAAAACAACUUUUGGCAACGGAUCUCUUGGCUCCC
rnacentral:misc_RNA from 1 species